rnacentral:rRNA from 1 species
CCUACGGGGGGCUGCAGUGGGGAAUUUUGGACAAUGGGCGCAAGCCUGAUCCAGCUAUUCCGCGUGUGGGAAGACGGCCUUGGGUUGUAUACCACUUUUGUAGAGAACGAAAAGUCUGUUGAUAAUACAGAUUGAUGAUGACGGUACUCUAAGAAUAAGCACCGGCUAACUACGUGCCAGCAGCCGCGGUAAUACGUAGGGUGCGAGCGUGAAUCGGAAUUACUGGGCGUAAAGGGUGUGCAGGCGGUUUUGCAAGAUGGAUGUGAAAGCCCCGGGCUUAACCUGGGAAUGCCAUACAUGACUGGAAGACGAGAGUGCGUCAGAGGGAGGUGGAAUUCGAAGUGUAGCAGUGAAAUGCGUAGAUAUUUGGAAGAACCCCGAUGGCGAAGGCAGCCCCCUGGGACGCAACUGACGCUCAUACACGAAAGCGUGGGGAGCAAACAGGAUUAGAUACCCCGGUAGUC